ACGCUCGACACCUACGGGAGGCUGCAGUGGGGAAUAUUGCACAAUGGGGGAAACCCUGAUGCAGCGACGCCGCGUGGAGGAAGAAGGUCUUCGGAUUGUAAACUCCUGUUGUUGGGGAAAAAGAGGAUGGUACCCAACAAGGAAGUGACGGCUAACUACGUGCCAGUAGCCGCGGUAAUCUGAGCGGGCUGGCAAGGC
rnacentral:rRNA from 1 species